CAAAGACUUUUAUGACUGCAAAUUUGAUCGUAAUUAAUAAUUAUGUUGUGCUCCGCACGGUUCUUACACUUUCAGAUUACUUUUUUGUUUCCAUCAGAUUGUCUUUCUCUUCUUAUCUGACUGUCUUUUUCUCCUCUUCAGACCAUCAGUGCCACUCCAAUUUCGCUUUCGUUCGGUGAUCAAUCCCUUCGACUGUUCCUUUGCUUGGUCGCCCUCCACUCCGUCCCUUCGAGCGGUUCAGCCUCUCAAACUUUGUCAUUCUCUCAAUCUAUCACUAUCUAUAGCGUGGCAACCCGUAGAGGCUGGCGGGCCCGUAGAACGAGUCCAGCGGCAGCAUAAUCUUGAAGCAUAGCGGUUGUACUUGUGACCAAGAAGCUCCUGAAGAGCACUGGAAAGGCACCGUGGAUCGCCGGCACGGCCUUCCUGAUCCUGUGUGGUCCGCCCCCUCAGGCGCCAUGGACGAUGUCAGAGCAAGCUCGGCUUGGGUCACCAGUCACGACUCCCACGUGCUCGUUGACUCCAUGUCAAUGCUGCGUCUUUGGGGGAGGUUUAGGUGGUUCUGUACUUCUUGCUGGGAUUGAGAGAAUCGUGGAGAAUAUUGGCCCUAUUCCAAAGUGAAUUGGGAUUACCAGGGAUUCACUAUUUCGACAAUGUCCUCCGCUCACGGUUCAGUACCCGUUUGUGUUCGGUGCCUUAAAGUUUUGAUUUUGGCUUGAUUCCAUAACUGAGUUUGAGUGAUUAGCAGCCAAAAGGUUGAAAUAGUGAAAAAUCCGACGUUGAGAACUCAAGGCUGUAUUUCAUAGGAACCUGGAUCGAUACUGUGAGUGUUUUUCCAGCUUGUAUAAUGGGUUUAAGCCCCACAACUUCCAAUAUUGAAGCCUCUGCUCAAAAGACUGCCGUUGUUUAUGUUGACAUGAUCAAACAGGCAGCUGUUAGUUAAAAAUUGCAACGGCCAGACAGAAAAAUCCUGGAAAUCUUUUGGAUUCUCUUUCACAACAUAACAGAUGAGAGAUGAUAGAUAGGUCAUUGUUGCUCAGACCUUAUGCCACAUAUCGCACAAUGAUAAAAGUGGUCCAUUCAUGGAUUGAAUUGCUUUUAUGUAAAUCAAGCCAAUGUCGAACUCGUUUAAAAAUGGUUCUCCUGUCAUUUCGACUUAAUUUUUGAAAACUACUGGAAAAUAAACUUCUCUGAAAGUUGAAUCAAUGGCGAUUCACCGGUUUUGGUUCGUC